rnacentral:misc_RNA from 1 species
AUCAAUGAGCAUCAAUGGCUGUUAAAAGUAUUACGUGUUGGGAACAUCCCGUAGAAGAGGAAGCAAGGCGGGACAGGCAGGAGCGUAAACAAGGAGAAUGCAUCGCGGGGGUGGCACGACGGGGUACGAGGGCGAGGGGGUUGUACCCGUCGCUCAUGCGCGCCUGGAACCCCGCCCUAUCGCUUCGGAAUACGGCCUGUCCUGUCGAGGACUCUUCGCCGAGGUGGUCGAAUAGUCACGCUUUAACCCGCGAUCCGCGAGGCGGACAGCACUCGCCAGGAACGCGCAAGUGCUCGGAAGAGGAAGGAGGCCCCGCAAACAUUCCCGAAACGGGCCCCCGGGGCUGUGUGCGCUCGCGAGCCUUCACCGAGACACGUUUCCUCUUCCCUCCCUGCCUCCCCCGCUCCCUUCCCACCAGCCCGAGUCGUUGAGAAAAAUCGUCGCGGAGGGAGCACCGCAAAUUUUGAUCGUCGUGUGUAUUGUUCCAUGAACCGAGGGAGGAUCGACGGUGGUGGCGGAUCGAUCAUCGUCAGACGGGGAGUCGCGCGUGUGACGGGAAUUUCAGGAUCGAUGUGACCGGCAGCGAUGCCAGCAAUUCUGCUGCGUGGCAACCAGUUGCGGAUGCAAACUGGCGUCGAGCAUAGAAUCCGUAUUAAGCUCACCAUGAAUGGCCCUUCGGCGUGAAAUCGUGCGUCGGGAAUCGCUGUCGACGCUCUCGCGCGGAUCUCCGAGUCGUGGAGGUGCCUCGAGUGUAAUUUACUAUUUUUCUUUCCCCUCGGUGGAUCGAUCUGGAGAGCGUGACGGAUCGCCGAGUGUCGCGACCGCUGUUGAUUGCGAUUCGCGUGAAAAAGCGAGCUUUUAUUCAGCGGAAGAGAGUCGCUCUUCAAGUUCGCGAACGACCUGUAUAUAUAUAUAUAUAUAUAUAUCGAGGAUAGACAACAAUCGCGUCACAUCGAUCCGGUUGGCAUAAGUUUACAAACGCGAUAUCGAAUCUCCUCAACUCCAAUAUAUCUUCGUCGUUCAAAAUAUCACAACGUGCGCCUUAAACCAUACCAAAGAAACCAAUAAAAAAUAAGAAAAAAAGAAAAACACGAACAGCACAGGCCUAACUUGGGAUCAACGGACUAACGAUUUGCAAAAUAUCACGCGAUUUUCUAACGCGUGAGUGUCACGCGGCCUUUCUUGAAGAAGAUUUUUCAUAAGUGUGCGACGAGCUACAUACGCGAGAUGCACGAUUUCCUACAAAACAGCAGCGGCUGAAAGGUCGUGAUCGAUCGACUUAAUUUGAUAACCCCCGAAAGAACCUUAGAGUGUACCGUAUAGCGAUAAGAUGAGGACUGAAAAGUGAAAGGGGUGAAUCGAGAAAGAGAGAGAGAGAGAGAGAGAGAGAGAGAGAGAGAGAAAGAAACAAGCCAUAUGCUGGCUAUCUAUGCCGCGCAGAGAUUAACAAGUACUGCUACUUGAAGAAACAUCGGAAGGAGAUCUCCAAUUGAAUAAUCAAACUGACAGCAAAAUGUCGAAUCAAGACCGUUCGCAGGAAUGGCGUGCAUCGAGCUUUACGGCGCUGCAUCGAUUUCAAGAUCGUUCCUCGCGCUACCCCUCGAAACUUGGAGACUGGGGAGAAAGCUCGCGACAAUAGAAUGUUGAUCGAUAAUCGUCCAUUAAAGACCUCGAAUUAACUGCACCCUCGCGACAAAUUAUAAAUCUAGUUUUGUAUCGAAAAAAGAAGAAAAAAAAAAUAAAGCGAAUACAGAUCGUUCGAUGCAACCCUCAUCGAGUCGACCCGACGACCGCACGACAUCGCGUUUUCAAAGGUCGAGCUAGUAGACGGCCUCGCUCUCAAUGUCUCCUAGAUGCGAAAGACGGAAACGCGAUCGAGUUCACUGGAUCCCCCGUCCCCUGCCGGACGAGUCAUCCACGAGGAAAACGAUGGUCGACGGGUGCCUGCUCGACAGUUGAUCCGCAGAGAAUCGACAACUCCACAAAUAAGCACGGCCUAAGCGAUGAUCGGCCUGUAGAUUGGCGCGCUCGAUGAGUCGUCGCGGAAACGAGCAUCGACAAGCAGCAGCGAGCACCAGCCGACCAAGAAGAAGAGGAAGGAGAAGAAGAAGACGUAGAAGAAGAAGAGAUAGCCUGUAGCCGCGUAGGGUCGUCUCCCUCUCGAGAGAGAGCCGCGUUCCGGGUGAUGCGCGGGAGUAGCUCCGAACUCCUGCUGGAGGCGAGCUGCAGCCAGUGCCAGAGCGAUCGGGGCCAUCGGCGCCGGGACAGCGACGACGGCGGCGGCGGCGGCGGCGGCGACGGCGGCGGGCACGACUUCCACGAACGGGAGCUACGUCGUCGCAAACUGUUGGAGCUCGGGUUCGGCGCGUCGCGGCGCCGACCGCCACGGCGUACCUGCCGGCAACGGCUCAACUUCUACGCCACGUCGGCCCUGGCCUUCGUCGCGACAUCCGGCGGCGCGGCGCUCCUCUUCCUGGUGCCGCUCUACGUCGAUCCGGCCAUCAGCACCCUGGCGGCGGACUUCUCGCCGCAGCCGGUCAUCUGCACGACCUCGCGACGCGAGGAGCUCGCCGGCCUCCUCAACUGCACAUGGAGCUCGUGCCGCGAGGGUUGCACCAGUGACGUGUACAGGUGCACCCACAUAUACGUCACCUACACGCCGUGGAGUAACGUCACCAUGAGGAACGACACCGCCAGGAACACCAACGUCACGACCAACACCACGACGACCCCUCUGGGCGCCGUCACUGCCGUGUCCUCCCCGGGCGACGUCGAGGCGGUGCUCCUGGUGAACAUCAAGGGCUGCGGGUACCCGCCGACAGUCGACUGCGGCAACUUCACCCGCGAGUUGGGUUACGAGGGCGCGAGGUUCCCCUGCCAUUAUAGCCGGGUGAACGGUAGUAUAGUGAUGGCGAACUAUAAUCGCGAGGCACAGAUCACCAUCAUUAUGCACUUCUUCGCGGCGCCCUUUGUAGUGACUCUCGCGACCAGCGUCGCGCUGUGUGUGAUGCACUGUGACUGCAGAUGCACGCCGCCCCCGCGACACCCCCCGCGCGGCAUGAGAAGAUCCAAGGGCAACGAUCUCAGCUGCUGCAUGAGUAUAAAAAAUCGAUAACGGGUUAGAAGCAUGCCGGAAGUCGUCCGAUUUAGAAGGUGUAUUUGACGAGGCAAAUAAACUUUCUAAACCAUACAUAAGACAAAGCGACUUAACAAUGAGAUGUUACUCCAACGUACUUACGUCGUCGUCGUGAGACGAUGCUAAGCUCUUUCGGCUGCAAAUACCGCCUUAGAAGAAAAGAGCGAAUCGCAGAAACGGAAAUCGGAUAUCGAUUCAUCAUCUCUCGCUAAUCCUCCGCUAAUUAACACCAAAAGGCGCAUUCAUCUCAUUAACAAAACGAGUGCGCCGCCCGAAAGCCGUGACUGCGCUCUCCGCUUGCAACGCAAUGAACAUGUGUAAAAAGAGAUCUCUAAUUAUCGAUCGGACGCCGUAAGUAAUCUCUCGUGCACUCGGAAUAAUCGUCAGCCAUCACGGUUGAUAUGUUGCGUAAACAAAACUUAACCAAAGUCGCCGCGCGUAACUCUGAUAAUCCACCAUUCUUCCGAAUGUUUUCUCUCUCCCCUCAUGAUCUUUUCCUCCAGCAUAAAUAAUCGCAUAAGUCAUGCCUUUCCUCUUGCACGAAGAGGAUUUUAUACAAGUACUUUACGUAAAAUCUACUUAACUGUCCAAUUAUCUUGUAGCAAUUUUUCCCAAGUUUUUAAAGC